rnacentral:rRNA from 1 species
AUGAAAUCAUGUACGUAUGAACGAACGUACGCGCGUACCGUAUUUGCUGGGGCUCCGGACCAUGUCGUAGACGCCGGCGUAGAAGUCAGCGUACAUGAUGCGCGCCGACUUGUACUUGGCCUGGAGGCUCGUGACCUUGGCCUGCAGCAGGCUGUUGUGGUACGUGGAGAGGUCGUUGAACUUCUUGAGGCAGCCGAGGGCGUCGUAGUCGGCGGCGCUGGAGGUGCCGUAGAUGGUGAGGUAGAUGGGGAAGCAGCCGAUGGGGAGCACCCCGGGCACCACCACGUCCACCGCCCCCAUCGCGACCAGCUUCUCCACGCCGGCGCCGAUGGUGUCCACGAUCUGCGGCGCGUACGUGCUCGCCUGGUCCGUGUUGUAGUUGCCGAACAGCAUCGCGUUGUAGUCGUUCCCCCCGAACUCCCCGAAGAUGAAGAGCGAGUUCGCCAGGUAGCUCUUGCAGCCUGCAACAAUAGUGAUAGUACACACGCGUAA